GAAAACCACAAAUUCAAAUCAGUGAAGGGAGGGUCACAGAAAAAGGAGAAAGAAACAUUUUUAAAAUCCCCAUGAUAUUAUGUAUUGGGCCUCUUUUUCCACACAAAAGCACCGCCUUUGCUCAUCUGCAGCCUCCCGAGGACUGUGUGGAAGGUGAUAAUGAGAACGGGCUUCAGCAACCAUCCUCCCCGGCAGCAUCGGGGCGCCCCACGUGACCCAUGGGAUGAUGCUAUCACAGGUGACCGCUGGAAAGGAAGCACGAGGACAGCCCCGAGAAAGCCACAGGACCUCUCUCAGGCUGACUGUUAUAAAAUACUGUCUCUCUGGAAAGUGACAUUGAUGCCUGAGUACAAAACAUCUUGACAUCUGAUAAUAAAGACUUUGUCUCUGAAGAAGAGGAAGUUAAA
rnacentral:lncRNA from 1 species